AUUGCCUCACCGGAAGACUAUGAAAGAAAGUUUAGAAUGCUCCUCUAGAAGGCCCUCCAGUUCUCUUCUGCCUGGGUCACAAGAGAUGGUGUGUGGCAGGCAGAGCAGCUGUGCCUGCUGAGAAACCGUCACUGGAAACCUAGCUCCACCACUUACUGAUUGUGUGACCUUGGGGAAAUCACUUUACCUCCCUGAGCCUUGGCAGUCUUCAUCUCUAAAAUGGGGAUAAUAAACUUACCUUGUACAACCGUUGGAAGGCUUAGGGGAUAAUGGAUGCAGAACACUCAACACAGGUCUCGUACAGAACAGGGACAGAAUGAAGGGAACCUGUGAAUAAUUCCAAAGGCACUCCUGCCUGCAGGAGGGGGACUCAAGACUGACUCCGGGCACCACCCAGCUAAGGGCAUCUUACGCCAAGUCCUCAAAUGCCUAGGGUGAUGGUCAUCCCUGGUGCCCAGGACACUCUCCUGGAUGGGAGAGGGAACCCAAGGGUGGUUGUGGUCACUGGGAUGUUGAGUCCAAGGUCUGUGAUUGGAGGCUGGCGUCUGCUGAGUCAGGUCUGGGACAGCUGGCAGCAGGACCAUUUCUCUCCCCAGCACCCUGCCGCUGCCGCCUGGGGGAGGUUGGGAGAGGAGCCAGAGGUCAUUUCCUCUGACUCAGCAGCCGCUCUCCUCCCAGAGGAACUCCCCUGGAGGACAGAGCAUCUCCAUGUGGCACUGGCCUGCCUGCCAGCCAACCUGCAUGCCACCCAGCACAGUCUGGGCUUUGUGCUCAGACAAGAAAGGGACACUUGUGAUCCAGACAAUGGGCCAGGGCGCUCCCAUUUGGCCUGAGCUUCAGCUUCCCUGGCUCAGCAAUGUCCUUUCCUCUGCUGCUGCCCACUCUGCUCCCACCACUCCCCGGAGAAUGGUGGCUCGGAACGCGGAGCAGAAACCCACAACAGGCCCUAGCCGCGGUUUGGCACAUGCCCUGGCCAUGAGGAGGAGGGAUGUGAGCUUCUUUCUUCUCCCCUGGUGGAAUGCUAUGGAAUGCUCCCCCAACCCCUCUGUCCCCAGGCUGCUCCAAGCCCACAACUGGUUGCCAGACCACCCUGGCCUGGGAGGGGACCCUUCCAGCUAAACCUGCCUCCCCAGUACAGCAGAGUGAGGGAAGCGGAAAGACCCCUGGAACAACAGGAGCAAGAAAGAGGCAGACAGGGCGGCUGGCCAGGUUUGUGCUCGACUGUAUUCACUCAGAGACACGUGGCAGCUUACAUUGGACAAAAUGAGUAAU